rnacentral:snRNA from 1 species
ACAUAUACUAAAAUUGGAAUGAUACAGAGAUGAGCAGCAUGGCCCCUGCGCUAGGAUAACACGCAAAUUCAUGAAAUGUUCCAUAUUUUU